rnacentral:lncRNA from 10 species
CUUAAGGCUACACUGUGUGAGAAGUUGAAAGAACUAGAGAUCUUUAACAGAGAAGGGGCAUACAUUUCAUGUAUUUGAAAGGAAAUGACGCAGACUUCUCUUUGGUUUUUCCAUGGGCAGAUCUCAAAAGGGAAAUUACAGGAAAGUGAACUUUUCAACAAUCAGAGCUGCCCAAAAGUGGAACUGAGGCUUGUGGAGUGAGUAGCUCUCCCUCCCUGGAAGCAUUCUGGCAGAGAUUGAGUGCCACCUGUGAGGGAGAGGAAUAAGGGCUACACCACGGGGUCGAGGAAGGGCCAGAGGAGGAAUGAUUCAGUUUGGAGACAGGAAAGGCUUGUCUGGGCUGGGCUGGGAGCUAAGGAAGAAGGGGGAUGCAGAUGCAUAAGACCAGAAAAUGCCUUCUAGGUAGGAACUCUGGGUGUGGAGCUGGUGUCAGCCCAAAAUUCAGGGUGCAAACUGCAAACCCAGAAGAAGAUUCAGGAGCUGCCAUGAAUCCUGCCUUGCCACAUUUUGCUAACCACAGCUGCCCUGCUCCUUGGUGAAGAUGCUAUCCACAGAAGCAGAGUCAAGGAUGCUUCCAUGAGUCUGCCAUCAGCAUCAGGACCCACUGCAGACAACAGGCAGAAGCCACCUGGGAUGGAAGAAGGAGAACCCCGCACUCCCCUGAAAGAAGGCAGAGGCCAGUCCUCUGAGGGAUGGGGCAGUCAUCCCUCAGAAUGUGAAAGGAGAGCCAGUGUUCACAUGCUCUGGACUCAUGGAAGUCAAAGAAAAGCCCUCUGCUAUCCCAAUCUGCCAGGUCAGCAAUAAGAAAUAGAAGAAAACCGAUUUGGCAACAUCCAGAGGGUAUUAAAUAUUCAUCCUGAGUGCCCAUCAGUAAAAUCCCAGCAGAAUACACCCUCUGACAAGUCAGCUUUCCACCACUGGAGGCUGUCCUCAUGGAAACUUGUUUAUGGCUUUGUCAAUUUUAAUAGCCAAACCAAGAUAUUGUCGUAAACAUUUGGAAAAUGAGUGCUGACAUUUCCCUUACUGCUUCUGUAUUUAGGUAUGUGUAAUUGGAGGGCGUUUUGAGCUAAAGAAAAUCAGAAGGAAGCAAGGCAAUUAUGCUUUACAAUUAAAAGAGAAAACUGAUUAAGAGCUAACAAUCAAAUAUGUGAACUGGCUGAAAGUCUUGCCUAAGCACCCCUUGAGGGGUCACACUAUGUGAUCAAUGAGGAUCAGACUAAGCUAGAUCAAUGGCAACAUGACAGUGAUGGCAUUCCUUGAAGAUUCUGUUGGGGAUGUGCAUACGCAACAGGAAGCACACACAGGGCAUGGUCAAAUAACAGAUCCACAAGUCAACUGUGCCAUCCAACCAGAGAUUCUGAUGAAUACUGAUAUGGGGGCAGGAUCAGCAGGGACGAGUCUGGGGCACAGACCACAGAGAAGCUUGCUGUGAUAAAUGAUAUCACAGCAGUGGAAGGCUGAUGGUAAAUGGACCAGCAUGAGUGAGUCAACAGUCCCUGGGUUCCUAUUUGAUUCUGAUGGAAUACGAAUAUUUAACACAAUAUUCUUUAAAACGGGGGUAGCAGGGGACACUUCUAUGGACGACACCAGAGCAGGGCUAAGAAUCUAUGUUUUGAGGGGCAAGGUAUGCAGGGAGAGCAAAAGAAGAGAGGACAGCGCUGGUUCUGAGCUCUGGUAUCCCCAGGUCUUAGAGCCACCUUGUGGCAGAAGCUGGAAGAAUCAGGAGUUAAAAGAGGCACAAGAUAAAACUUCUACACCAUCAGCAAACUGUGUCUUGAGGAACCUCUACCAGUGUCUUAUGACCCCAACUUCCAAAAAACAAAUUUAAGGACUUGCUAAAGGGGAUUAGGAAAUCAGGAGUGGUUAACCAGAGAGAGGAAACAUUAAUUACAAGCAUACGGUACCAAAGAGGAUUCCUGAGAAGAAAAACACUUGUCUAGAACAUAUAAUAAUAAAAUUAGGAACUUGGACUCUGGAGCCAAACUGCCUGUCUGGACUUGAAUCCUGGCUCUGCCACUUACUAUGGCACACUGGGCAACUUAUGUAACUUCUGUGUCAGUGUCCUCAUCUGUGAACUUGGGUAAAAUGGUCCCCCUCACAGCACUGCAUGGAUUAAGAAACAAGGAACUAAGUUAUUAUGUGUAAAGCAUUCCCAGUGGUUUACAAGAAAUGUUCAGUGAAUAUUAGCUGCUACUGUUGUUACUACCAGUAACACUAGUGCCAUAACUCCUCCACAUCAUCAAUCUACAAGGAGAAAAUUCUUCUGUAAAGGACAGCAUUAACUGAAUGCAGAAAGAAGAAUCUCUGAUUACAUAGCCUUUAAAAAGGUCAAAGUCUCCCUACCACAAUUACUUUUUAACAAGGCACACCUGGAUUCAAAUCCCAACUUUCCCCCACUCACUAGGUGUUUAAUUUGAGGAACUGAGAACCUCUCAGAGCCUCUGUUACUUCAUUUAUAAAAUGGGAAAGCAAUAUGUUCCUCCCAGGGUUGCAGUGAAGAUUAAGUGAGAUAAUAUACACCAAGUGUCCAACAGUCUCCAGCGCACAGUCAGCUCUCAUGUAUUUUUCCACUUCUAUUUCCCCAAAAUGAAUGCACCAGCACCAAAAUAUAUAAGAAAGAGUAAAAACUCUUAUGAAGCUCUCUGGAAAAUAUUAAGUGCUAAAUGCAUAAAUAUUUAAUAGAGGAGAGACAGUAACACUUAAGGGGAUGCACUCUCCUGGUGCCUCAGCUGCCCUCUGGGAGUCCUGCACGGCCUCAAGCACCCACCUUUGCUCUUCCUAGCCUCCAAAGGGUCAUAAAAGUAUAUUACUGUGCACCUUUAAGUAGAGGCCUCAUAACAGCCCAAGUACAGUGAUACUCAUAAGUCUCCUCUGCCAACCACUGUUCAUUCUCAUUUUACAGUGAAAACACAACAGAAACCAACUCGAGACACCCAAGACACAAAGACAACCUCAGAGCAGAUCUGGGGUCUCCCAACCCUCCAGCUACUUUACCCAGGAGGCAAUUAUGGUAUAAAGGAAAACAUUUGCUCUAUGGAAGUCAGAGAUACCUGGGCUCCAAUCUCAGUUCAAAUCUCAGUUUUGCCCCUUAACCAGCUGGCUUGCCUCCAUCAAGAUUCCUGACCACUUUGAGCCUUGGUUUCCUCAUUAGCAAAAUAGGGAUACAAACACCUACAUUAUUAGGUUGUUGGAUAAAUUUAAAAAAGAAAACAUGAGUAAAGCACUAAGCAUAAACCUGG